ACAAACAAAGAUGUUGUGUCCGCCGAGAACUAAAAAAUAAAAAUAUUAAAAUUCUCUCUCUCUCUCUCUCUCUCUUUCUUUUAAAAAAAAGAACUUUGUUUUUUUUUUCUUUUUAGAGAGAGAAUUUUAAUAUUUAUUUUCUAGUUUUCAGCGGACACAACAUCUUUGUUUGUAUGUGGUGCUGAGGAUCGAACCCGGGCUCCACGCAUGCCAGGCGAGCGCGCU
rnacentral:sRNA from 1 species